CUACGGGUGGCAGCAGUGGGGAAUAUUGCACAAUGGAGGAAACUCUGAUGCAGCAACGCCGCGUGGAGGAUGACACUUUUCGGAGCGUAAACUCCUUUUAUAUAGAAAGAAGAUGACGGUACUAUAUGAAUAAGCGCCGGCUAACUCCGUGCCAGCAGCCGCGGUAAUACGGAGGGUGCAAGCGUUAAUCGGAAUCACUGGGCGUAAAGAGCGUGUAGGCGGAUUAAAAAGUCAGAAGUGAAAUCCUAUAGCUUAACUAUAGAACUGCUUCUGAAACUCUUAAUCUAGAAUAUGGGAGAGGUAGAUGGAAUUUCUGGUGUAGGGGUAAAAUCCGUAGAGAUCAGAAGGAAUACCGAUUGCGAAGGCGAUCUACUAGAACAUUAUUGACGCUGAGACGCGAAAGCGUGGGGAGCAAACAGGAUUAGAUACCCCCGUAGUC
rnacentral:rRNA from 1 species